rnacentral:tRNA from 1 species
UAAUCCGAAGAUCGGGGGUUAAACUCCCCCCUAGCGCC